rnacentral:rRNA from 1 species
UGAAUGACUCUCGGCAACGGACAUCUCGGCUCUUGCAUCGAUGAAGAACGUAGCGAAAUGCGAUACUUGGUGUGAAUUGCAGAAUCCCGUGAACCAUCGAGUCUUUGAACGCAAGUUGCGCCCGAGGCCACUAGGUUGAGGGCACGUCUGCCUGGGCGUCACAC